rnacentral:piRNA from 1 species
AAUAGGCAGAUAAAGAAUAUUGA